AACAAACGCUGGCGGCGUGCCUAAUACAUGCAAGUCGAACGGUGAAAGCUUUCGGGUGAGUACUAGUGGCGCACGGGUGAGUAACGCGUGGAUAAUCUGCCUUGAAGAGGGGGAUAACCAGUCGAAAGAUUGGCUAAUACCGCAUAAGACCACAGGAACUGAGGUUCUAGAGGUCAAAGGUUUUUCGCUUCAAGAUGAGUCCGCGUAAGAUUAGCUAGUUGGUGAGGUAACGGCUCACCAAGGCGACGAUCUUUAACUGGUCUGAGAGGAUGAUCAGUCACACUGGAACGGAGACACGGUCCAGACUCCUACGGGAGGCAGCAGUAGGGAAUAUUGCACAAUGGAGGAAACUCUGAUGCGGCGACGCCGCGUGAGUGAUGAAGGCCUUCGGGUCGUAAAGCUCUGUCGCAGGGGAAUAACACAAUGAAGGUACCCUGUAAGAAAGGAUCGGCUAACUUCGUGCCAGCAGCCGCAGUAAGAC
rnacentral:rRNA from 1 species